ensembl:snRNA U1 U1 spliceosomal RNA
AUGCUUUUUUGGAAGGGGAAAUUUCAUUCUCAAAUAUGUGGUCUUCCCAGACUGAGGUGGGACCUUUGCAUUUUGCUAGUUUUGACUCCUACAAAAUCCCAAUAUGUGGGCAUCUAGACUGCAUCAUUCCUGAUAGCGGCAGACUGCGUUUACCCUCUUACAAG